GUUUUUCCUUCUUUUUUAGUAUUUUUCUGUUUUUUCUUUUUUUUUCAUGUGUAGUCUCAUCUCGACUUGUGGGGGAAUCAUUGACUCCAUCAUCCUUUCCUCACUAGGACAACAUCCUAAAUAAUGAAUAGCAUCACACUUCUAUUUACGUACAACUCAAUAUGAAAAACAACUAAACAAUAGGACUGUAUACGAUUGCCUCUGGUAGUGUACCAAG
rnacentral:lncRNA from 1 species